GCUGGGAUGGCCGAGUCGUUAAGGCGAGUGAUUUGAAUCAUUCACUAUCACUUGGUGUUUCACCGCGUAGGUUCAAAUCCUGCUUCCAGCG